AUAUUCUUUUUCAUAUUCUUUUCCAUUAUCGUUUAUUACAGGAUAUUGAAUAUAGUUCCCUGUGUUAUACAGUAGGACCUUGUUUAUUUUUGCCCUUUAUACCUCCCUGGAGAGUUGUGAUAAUCAAAAGAGAUGUAUGUAACAGGGAAUAGAUUAUUAUCUUAUCACUCACCCUCACACCCUCUCAUGCUUUAUGCCUGGUGAUGUGUCUGAUCUCUCGUGGGUUAGUGCCUUCCCAUUGAAAGAAUAUGGCAUUCACUCAUUCAUGCAUUUUUGUUGUGGAGAUAUUAAUAGUACCUCCAAUAUAAGAUUGUGAUGAGGAUUAAAUACAUUAAUGUGUAUAAGGUUCCUAGAGUGGUUGGCACAUGGUGAAUACUCUAUAAAUGUUUCCAUUGUUAUUAUCAGUCUUUUCUAGUUCAUUCAAGAAAAUUUACUGAGCAUCCACUGUGUUUCCUGGGACUAGAGAGAACAGAGCUUGUUCCUUCCUACCUUGGGGGAGUAAGGCCCAGAAAAGAAUGUUGCUGCCAGUGUAAAGGUGCGGAGCCUGUCAGCAAGCACAGAGCGCUAGGGGAUCUUCCAAUAGGAAGGGACUCCGUGCAGGCCUGGUGUGUGGGGACUGGGGUGGCCUUGUGCUUUGAGAUGGAGCCACGGGGGCUGGCUGGGGCUGGGGGUGGCCGGCAGCGCUUACGGAAGCCCCCAGCCUGGGAGCCAGAGUGCUGCUCUGCCGGUUCUAUUCACGGUCCCAACACGUACCUUGCCCCUCAGCGGCAGCAGGGCUGGGGUGGCUGGAGGAGAGGGAAGGAGGUUGGGAGCAGGCUGGGCUGUGUGAACACACAGACGGUGGGUCAGGAAGGAAGGCCAGGGAACCAGCACUAAGGAGGGAGGCAGAGGGAGAGAGGAUGGAGGGGAAGGUGAGGGCUGCUGGGGGCGGGUGCCUUGGGGGCAGGUGGUGGAAGCCUAGGCCAAACCCCUGUGUUGCCUCCAUCUGAUCAUGAGCCCCUUUGCAUGGAGGGGAAGUCUGACCAUUGGGGCCCAAGAGCACCUGGGCAAUAUCAGAUCACCACCCCUGUGUUGCAGCUGGAGAGACUGAGGCCCAGAGAGGAUGUGUAACUUCCUCACAGACACACAGCCAGUUAGGGGCUUACCCAGAGUCAGAACCCAGACCUCUUGAUUCUUAGUCCAGUGCUCCUCACACGAUACCACGCCGCCUUUUGGGGCCUCGGGGCCUCCUGUUUUAUUAGAAAACCCUAAUCUGAGGGGGGCCACGUUGCUGCCAUUGCUGAUGUGUGUAACCCUGCACUCCGUCCUGUUCUCCCUCCUCCGUCUUCUCCCCUCAGGGGAAAGGGCACAAGCAAGUGCAGAUUCCGUUCAGCUGUUCCACCCUCGGCCCAGGGCUGGUGCAGAGGAGCUGGGCAGCCUCCCUUACCCCACCGACCCACCUUCUUCUCAGAGGCAGGCUGGGCCUGGGGGGCAGGGACCUGUGGUGGGGCUUCUCCCUCAAGCUCUGUGGUGGGUGCCCUCUCAGAUGGCCUGGGUGACCCCACCUCCUGGUACGUGCACUCUUGUGUCAUCCUCCCACCUUGAGUGUGGGCUGAUCUAGAGACUUGAGUCUAAAAAUGGAAUGAGUAAGUCCCCUACAUACUAACCUUCAAGUUGCGCUCUUUCAAAGAUGCGAACAUGCGUUUGCAUGUCCAGUCACGUUUAGUUCACGUGUCUGGCGUACAUUGUCACGUGCGUGCAUCCUCUACAAGAGGCUGUGCUUCUGUGUACCUUACUGUACAGUACUGUAUAGAGUACAGUAGUACAGUAUCUUUACUUCAAGCCCAGGAU